UACAGAGGGUGCGAGCGUUAAUCGGAUUUACUGGGCGUAAAGCGUGCGUAGGCGGCUUUUUAAGUGGGAUGUGAAAUCUCCAUGCUUAACUUGGGAAUUGCAUUCGAUACUGGGAAGCUAGAGUAUGGGAGAGGAAGGUAGAAUUCCAGGUGUAGCGGUGAAAUGCGUAGAGAUCUGGAGGAAUACCGAUGGCGAAGGCAGCCAACUGGACUAAUACUGACGCUGAGGUACGAAAGCGUGGGGAGCAAACAGG
rnacentral:misc_RNA from 1 species